rnacentral:rRNA from 1 species
UACGUAGGGACCGAGCGUUGUCCGGAUUCAUUGGGCGUAAAGAGCUCGUAGGCGGCUGCUCAAGUCGAAUGUGAAAACUCGAGGCUCAACCUCGAGCCUGCAUUCGAUACUGGGCGGCUAGAGUCUGGUAGGGGGAUCUGGAAUUCCUGGUGUAGCGGUGGAAUGCGCAGAUAUCAGGAGGAACACCGGUGGCGAAGGCGGGAUCCUGGGCCAGUACUGACGCUGAGGAGCGAAAGCGGUGGGGAGCAAACAGG